ACCACCACCUGUGUUUUCUGAAAAUGUUACUGGCAAAGACCGUUUACCUUCAAUUUUGGCUUCAGGUGUUCUAAAAUGUGACGGAGAUUUUUGAUGUCAUUUCUAAGCCCCCUUUCAAAGUCUGGGAUGGAGAAUGAAGCGGAGCAUUUUUCCACAUAUUUCUUCACAUCUUUGUUAUUUUCCAGUUGCCGGGCCUUGGAUUCUAUUUCCAGGAGUUGGUCUUCCAGGCUGCAGAGAUCUUGGGCAAUAUUCUGUGUGGGAAUACAACUUUUCGGGUUACUUCAGGACAAAAAAUGAAAAGAGGAGGAGCGAGCUAUCGGCGCUCCUCUCGUUUUUUUUGGCGUCACCUCCAGGAAGAUAUCCAACUUCUGUCUCAGCGCUGGGAUGUCCAGCUGCUUGAAUUCGGUCCCGUAACGUUCGGAUUUCUUCAGGCUCUGAAUCUCCAUCAGCAGCUUGAGUUGCUUCAAGUUCUCGUCCAGCAGGAUACACCACCACCCGAAAUUCUUGAGAUGUUUGCUGCUUGACAUGGGAGGAAGGCCACAGGUGGACGCUGAAUGCCC